rnacentral:rRNA from 1 species
GAUGAACGCUGGCGGCGUGCCUAAUACAUGCAAGUCGAGCGAACAGACGAGGAGCUUGCUCCUCUGACGUUAGCGGCGGACGGGUGAGUAACACGUGGAUAACCUACCUAUAAGACUGGGAUAACUUCGGGAAACCGGAGCUAAUACCGGAUAAUAUAUUGAACCGCAUGGUUCAAUAGUGAAAGACGGUUUAGCUGUCACUUAUAGAUGGAUCCGCGCCGCAUUAGCUAGUUGGUAAGGUAACGGCUUACCAAGGCGACGAUGCGUAGCCGACUUGAGAGGGUGAUCGGCCACACUGGAACUGAGACACGGUCCAGACUCCUACGGGAGGCAGCAGUAGGGAAUCUUCCACAAUGGGCGAAAGCCUGACGGAGCAACGCCGCGUGAGGGAUGAAGGUCUUCGGAUCGUAAAACUCUUUUAUUAGGGAAGAACAAAUUUGUAAUUAACUAUGCACGUCUUGACGGUACCUAAUCAGAAAGCCACGGCUAACUACGUG